rnacentral:ribozyme from 1 species
UUAAGCCGCAAGGCCCGCGCUCAGGCGUGACCGGCGCAAGUCCGGUGCCCUUCGGGGCGGCGCUCAUGGCUCGGAU